GACAGAGGUGCCAAGCGUUAGGCGGAAUCACUGGGCUUAAAGCGUGUGUAGGCGGACUUCUAAGUACCUUGUGAAAUCCCCCGGCUCAACCGGGGAACGGCUGGGUAUACUGGGAGUCUUGAGCCAGCUAGGGGUCGCCGGAACAAGUGGUGGAGCGGUGAAAUGACGUAGAUAUCACUUGGAACGCCAAUGGUGAAAACGGCGCUGGGGCUGUGCUGACGGCUGGAGACACGGAAAGCCAGGGGAGCGAACGGG
rnacentral:rRNA from 1 species